UACACAUGCAAGUCGAACGGCAGCACGGGAGCAAUCNGGUGGCGAGUGGCGAACGGGUGAGUAAUGUAUCGGAACGUACCCAGUCGUGGGGGAUAACUAUCCGAAAGGAUAGCUAAUACCGCAUACGUCCUGAGGGAGAAAGCGGGGGACCAAAAGGCCUCGCGCGAUUGGAGCGGCCGAUAUCGGAUUAGCUAGUUGGUGAGGUAAAGGCUCACCAAGGCGACGAUCCGUAGCUGGUCUGAGAGGACGACCAGCCACACUGGAACUGAGACACGGUCCAGACUCCUACGGGAGGCAGCAGUGGGGAAUUUUGGACAAUGGGGGCAACCCUGAUCCAGCCAUUCCGCGUGAGUGAAGGAGGCCUUCGGGUUGUAAAGCUCUUUCAGCAGGAACGAAACGGUGGUCCUUAAUACGGGCUACUAAUGACGGUACCUGAAGAAGAAGCACCGGCUAACUACGUGCCAGCAGCCGCGGUAAUACGUAGGGUGCGAGCGUUAAUCGGAAUUACUGGGCGUAAAGCGUGCGCAGGCGGUUCUAUAAGACAGAUGUGAAAUCCCCGGGCUUAACCUGGGAACUGCGUUUGUGACUGUAGGACUCGAGUGUGGCAGAGGGGGGUGGAAUUCCACGUGUAGCAGUGAAAUGCGUAGAGAUGUGGAGGAACACCGAUGGCGAAGGCAGCCCCCUGGGUCAACACUGACGCUCAUGCACGAAAGCGUGGGGAGCAAACAGGAUUAGAUACCCUGGUAGUCCACGCCCUAAACGAUGCGAACUAGGUGUUGGGGAAGGAGACUUUCUUAGUACCGCAGCUAACGCGUGAAGU
rnacentral:rRNA from 1 species